rnacentral:sRNA from 1 species
GAAAAAAGCUUAAUUUGAUUACUACACGCAGACAUUUACAACAUUGAUGUUUAGACUUUUGAUUUAAACAACGGAAACCAGGCCCGGCUCUACACAUGUGCUGGAGGAGCUGAGGCACAGGGUCCACCCAAAAUUUCUCUUUUUUUUAAGUAAAUCUAGUACAAUUACGAUCCAAAAAAAAAAUUACAUAACAAAACACAGGAAAUGAGAACUAAUUUUUUUUCCAGCUCUAGGUCCUUUAUUAUUUUGAGCCGGCCCUGACGAAAACACACAAGAAAAUUUCUAUAUAUGCGGUUUUUUAGAAACAA